rnacentral:rRNA from 1 species
UUCCAGACUCCUACGGGAGGCAGCAGUGGGGAAUAUUGCACAAUGGGGGAAACCCUGAUGCAGCGACGCCGCGUGAGCGAUGAAGUAUUUCGGUAUGUAAAGCUCUAUCAGCAGGGAAGAAGAUGACGGUACCUGACUAAGAAGCCCCGGCUAACUACGUGCCAGCAGCCGCGGUAAUACGUAGGGGGCAAGCGUUAUCCGGAUUCACUGGGUGUAAAGGGAGCGUAGACGGCGACGCAAGUCUGGAGUGAAAGCCCGGGGCCCAACCCCGGGACUGCUCUGGAAACUGCGUCGCUGGAGUGCGGGAGGGGCAGGCGGAAUUCCUGGUGUAGCGGUGAAAUGCGUAGAUAUCAGGAGGAACACCGGCGGCGAAGGCGGCCUGCUGGACCGUGACUGACGUUGAGGCUCGAGAGCGUGGGGAGCAAACAGGAUUAGAUACCCCGGUAC